GGCGGCCACGCAAAGCCCACCCGACCACACAGCACGAUCUUAAACUGGCUGUUGUCAAAGAUGGACUCACAGGUUUGCACGUGCCAGGUUGAAAAAGGGAGCUGUUCCUUGCAGUACUUUGAAUUGGGAAAAGAGGAAAUUUAAAAGGAUCCCCUUAGAGAGAAGUAAGCUGUGCCUGACAGGGGAAGAGUCUGUGCCCCAAGUGAGCAGAUCAUCCAUCAGCACGGAGAAAACACAGGUUUCUCUGGAAGUCCUCACUGAAAGGUGAUGUGUUCUGCUUGAACAAGAAAUGGUUAAUUCCCAGUCCGGGCAUUGGUCAGCCAGCAGAUGAUAUGAAGACAUUUUCUGUUCAAUAUCCCUUUUAAAGCUGAACUUGUGAACCUGGGAGGCUCAUUAUUGCCUCCGGUACCUGACCUCAUCUGUCUGCAGCUCUUUUCCUGAGCCAGGGGGUUGUCAAGUCACACAGCCUUACAGACCCAGAGAGUUAGUGCUUCUGUGAAUUGGGGAGUAAUGCAACACUACUCCAUACUUCACUACUUUUAUUUUGGAGGUUGUUUGUUUAACUGGCCUGCUGCUUGUUCAGAUAGACCAACUAUGUGACAAGUGACUACACAGUUUUCUCUCACUGUAAAUAGCCACUGUGGCUUUUCAAGUACUUUAAUAAAAUCUCUGCAAUCUCCCUUUCAA